rnacentral:lncRNA from 1 species
CGAUCGGUGGCAACUAGUAAGCCGGUGACGUCGACCGCCGAACACCGCCCGAACAAGGAGAGGGGCCGACUUCGGCGGGAGUCGUGACAAACAUGGAGUCCUGGGAGUGUCACCAGAUGAAGAUCAUCAAAGUGAAUCUGGAGAAAAGGAGUGCAGUAUGUUUUCCCACCUCUUGUUUCUGUCGCCGUGGCUUCACUGGCGAUGGGAAGAAUUGUUCUGGAUGCCACCCUGUUGCCAGGUGCUACAACAUGGCACCGAGGGCACUGGCUAUGAGUCCCAGGAUGUUGACGAGUGUCCCGACAACUCCACCCAGCCCCACAACUGCAGCUGCCUGACCCUUUCCAACAACACAAACGGUUCCUCUGUCGGUGCCAGGAGGGGUACAUGGGGGACGGGUUCGUCUGUGAGGAUGUGGAUGAAUGUCUCUCACCCUCUACCUGUGGGGGGGGGGAACAUGACGUGCCACAACACCCCCAGGAGGUACGACUGCACCUGCAUCCGGGGCCUAGCUUACGGAGCAGGCACGUGUGUGUCUGAGGAGGACUGCCUGAAUACCAGCAGUAUGUGGCACCCUCACGCAGCGUGCCUACCCCACCAAGGGCUCCUUCUACUGCCACUGCCAGGACAGUUUCCACGGCAACGUGGCGGCGUGCUGGGACGUGGACAAGUUUUGCCAAAUGGGGCGGGAGUACUGCCCGGAGUUCUCCUACUGCUUCAACACAGAGGGUUCCUAUACGUGCGACUGUUGGGGCGGGACACACUCCACGGGACACACUGCGUGGACGUGGACGAGUGUGAGGCGGGGAACUUCACCUGUCCAGACAACAGCACCUCUACCAACUCUGAGGGUAGCUACUGCUGCCCCUGUGACAUGGACUACCAGGCUAGUAACAACUCUCUGUGUCUAGAUAUUAACGAGAGUGCCGUGGGGCUGGCACAGUGCCCGAACACCUCCGAUUGCCAGAACACACCCGGCUCGUUUGUCUGUGACAGCUGGGAAGGCUACUAGGGCAAUGGCUCAGGCUGUGAGGACAUCAACGAAUUCCUGGACAAUUCCACUUGUCCUGAGAACAGCACCUGCGUCAACACCUAUGGCAGAUUCCUGUGUCCCUGUAAUGUAGGAUUCCUCAGCAUAAAUGAUCAGUGUGAGGAUGUCGAGGAGUGCUCAGGCCGCUCUGCACCAACGGAACGUGCAUGAACCCCAUUGGUUCAUUCUUCUGCUUGUGCUACAAGGGUUUAUGGAGCAAUGAUAUUGAGUGUGUGGACGUGGACGAGUGUUCUGAGGAGUAUUGCAACUCCUCUACCUCCGUCUCUGUCUGCCAGCCCUACUUGACCUGUCUCAACCUCCGUGGCUCCUGUAAUAGCGGGUUCCUCCUGUCCCGAGGUCUCCUUGUGCAACAACACUAGUGUCCCAGUGUGGACGGGUAUGAGUUAUGGGCACAAGGCAAUGAAUGACACGGUGUGCGACGAUAUUGACAAAGGUCUCUAAAACACCACAUAUCACGGUCGUACCACUGUGACUGUCCUGGGGGGUACCAUGAGGACGAGGGAGCGUGUGUGGAUAUGGAUGAAUGUGGGAACAGUAAUGGUACGAAGGUGUGUCACCCCUUGGCACGGUGUUGGAACACUCCAGGCCCACUGCCCACUGGGCCCACGCGGGCAAUGGCACCUGGUGGAGGGCGUUGACCAGUGGCGACCGGUAAUUCAGUUUUUAGCUCUACCUGUUUAGCAAAAAAUGUAUAAUAUAUAUUUUUUUGUUGCCUGUUUUGCAUGUUAUUUUGGCAUUAAUGUGUCACAUAUUAGCUUGCAAACAAUGUAAAAUAAAAACAAUUAUUGAGUUAAUAAGCUGC